UUUAAAAUUGGCUGAAAGAAUUGAUUAAAAUUACCCUACGUGUUUUGCCAUGUCGUUUCGGAGCAGCCAGCUUUCUUUGGCCAACCGUGUACUUGAAUAGUUAAGAAAGCCUCUUGGUAUUUGGCGGUCAGACUGGCCGUGCCAUUUUGCACAGAAGGAAUGAAAUUUGGCUUAGAAAUUAGACUGGGGGCAAUUAAAAACUUUUAGAAAGAUUGAAAAAUAUAUCAUACAUCAGCUGGAAGUUCUGUUAUUCAGACCCCUCUUUCUUCCUACCAAGAAACAGAUCCUUCUGGAAUUCGAGCUCCAUAUGGGCAGGCACUUUGUUGGUUCUGCUCAUCACUGUAUCUCCAUCAUCAACAGCAAAGCAGUGCUUGAUACUUGUGAAAAGUCAAUAUGUGGGGCAUGGAACCUUCUAGAAGAGCAACUGAUGUUGUCUCUCCACUUCUCCAAGGUCCUAGUGAUGGACCUGCAUGAAUCCUGUAUCAUCACCAUCACUACAUUUUCUCUCCCUAAAGGCCCUCCAUGGAACAAGACAUGUCUCAAAACUUCUCUCUGAUUCUUCUGUCCCUCAAGGAAACAACGUGGACAUUUUCUGUAACAAAACUGUGUUGGGUUGAAUAGGGUCCCACAAAAAUUUAUGACUACCUGGAACCUCAGAAUAUGACCUUAUUUGAAAAUAGGGUCUUUGCAGAAAUAAUUAGUUAAGAAGAGGUCAUACUGGAUUAGGGUUGGCCCUAGAUUCAAUUACUGGUGUCUUUAGAAGAACGGGAGAAGACACAGAGACAGAGAGAAGAAGAUCAUGUGAAGAUGGAGGCAGAGAUUGGAGUGAUGCUGCCGCAAGCCAAGGAAUGCCUUGAGACACCAGAAGCUGCAAGAGGCAAGGAUGGAUUCUCCCCUAGAGCCUUCACAGGGAAUGUGGCCCUCUUCAGAUCUUGAUUUUGGACUUUUAGCCUCCAGAACUAUGAGAGAAUAAAUUACUGUUGUUGAAGCCACUUCAAUGAAUUACUGCUUGUAUUUGUAAUUAUGGAAUUCAAUAAAUUACUGUUGUUGUUAUUUGUUAUGGAAUCCCUAGAAAACAAAAGCAAAACUUUUCAAAUGCCCAAGAACUGGCAACUAGGGUCUUGACUUAAAACAAAAGGCAUCAGGAAUUCCCAAAUUAUAAAGACUGCCAUCAAAAUGCAGGCCUAUGAAGAGCCAGCUCUGCUAUCACCAGCAACCUCCCAGCACUUCUUCCCAGUCUUUACAAUAAAACUGGGGAGGGGAGAGGGAGGUUGUUGGAGUAAGAGACAGUACGUCUCACCAUGAAGACAAGUGAGAUGACCCAGGGAAAUGCUAAAAGACUGGAGGAGCCUGAAAGAAAGGGAAACUUGCCUUCCCCAGCUGAACAUUGGCUUAAGUAGUAGACUUGCUGAUUUGCCUGAGAUGGGAGAGAAGGCAGGUUGGACAGAAGGGUGGGAGUGGAGCAGCUUGCGCUCCAACCACGAGGUGAGGAUGCCUGAGUUCACUGCGGGUCAAUGGACGUUCCAAAAAGAUAGCUGAGCUUGAGCCAUCCUGCUGGUACCCACCUAAGAUUGGUG
rnacentral:lncRNA from 1 species